UUUGGUGUCCGUGGCUAUGGAAUGAAUGGAAUUGCUCUUUCCUGAUUUGCCUCUGCAGGCUCACGAUGGUGGUGUGUGCGGUAUGGAAAUGGCCAAAGUACCAAGGGGACUCCUCAACUUGUAAACCAGGAUGGCAUUGGCCAUCUGGGAUACCACUUCUUUGAGGGUUUGUGUUCGUCGAUGCGGGGGUACGUGGCAUUGACGUUGAAAGAAGGAAGAGAUGAAGAACCGUGCAGCUCAGGGAGCCUCCAUGGCAGAUUGCUUUGUUGACUGUGGACACUUCGACCACCUAUGUUACAGGUUGUCCGGCUCGACACUGCUCCUUCAAUUGCACGGCCUCCGCCAGCCAAAUGGAUGUGGAUGUGGAAGACAAGAAGGUUGCAGGCGUGGCGUUGCGAUGGGGGAGGCAGCAUUGCUGUAGCAGUAUCCAGGUUACCUAUGGAGCACAAGCGUCCUGGAGUCUGAGACGGCGUGCUUUGGAU